rnacentral:rRNA from 1 species
UACAGAGGGUGCGAGCGUUAAUCGGAAUUACUGGGCGUAAAGCGUGCGUAGACGGUUAUCUAAGUCGGGUGUGAAAGCCCCGGGCUCAACCUGGGAAUUGCAUUCGAGACUGAAUAGCUAGGGUACGGUAGAGGGAAGUGGAAUUUCCGGUGUAGCGGUGAAAUGCGUAGAUAUCGGAAGGAACAUCAGUGGCGAAAAGCGACUUCC